rnacentral:rRNA from 1 species
CCUACGGGAGGCAGCAGUGAGGAAUAUUGGUCAAUGGGCGCGAGCCUGAACCAGCCAAGUAGCGUGAAGGAUGACUGCCCUACGGGAUGUAAACUUCUUUUAUCAAGGAAUAAAGUGGGGCACGUGAGAAUUUUUGUAUGUACUUUAUGAAUAAGGAUCGGCUAACUACGUGCAAGCCUCCGCAGUAAUACGUCGGAUCCGAGCGUUAUCCGGUUUUAUUGGGUUUAAAGGGAGCGUAGAUGGGUUGUUAAGUCAGUUGUGAAAGUUUGCGGCUCAACCGUAAAAUUGCAAUUGAUACUGGCAGGCGUGAGUACAGUUGAGGUAGGCGGAAUUCGUGGUGUAGCGGUGAAAUGCUUAGAUAGCACGAAGAACUCCGAGUGCGAAGGCAGCUUACUAAACUUCCACUGACAUUGAUGCUCGAAAGUGUGGGUAUCAAACAGGAGUAGAUACCCUGGUAGUC